GGCUAUCAACUUCGGCGACUGCGACGACAGCUAAUAUGACUCGUCGCUCCCAUAGUAGCUAUUUUGGGACUAGAUCUGGAGGUUUCAGUUACAUCCAUGGCCCUUCAUCAUUAUUGGUUGCCAUUUCCGGUGAGACUCGCCUUUUUCAACGUGAUUCGAUUAUCUUGCCUACAAAUAUGUGAGAGCAAGAUAAGGAAGGAGGUGAGAGGAAGAGAGGUCGUGGGUGGACGAGAUAGACCCGUCGCUUGUCACGUCCGAGGACUGGUUCUCUGGAAAUUGGGUUGAGGUCGACGAGAGAGAGGGGUGGUCCAAAGGUGGCGAUUGUUGUUCUGUGUGUUUGUCUAGGGUUUUUGGUGGUGUCGCUAUGAUGAAUGAGAGGGAACAACUGAGAGGUGUGUAUGUUUUGUUACUUGGGGAUGC
rnacentral:lncRNA from 1 species